CCAAAUACUUAGCCCCACUUUUUCUUAUGUAAACAUCACACCACCACCCCCUUCAACUAAAACAUUUUAAAAACUUAGUAAAGGCGAUUAAAAAAUUUAUUGGAGCAAUAACAAUAGUACCGCAAGGGAACAGUGAAAUAAAAAUGAAACAACUUUUAAGCACUAAAAAGUAGAGCUUUAUUCUCGUACCUUUUGCAUCAUGAUUUAACUAGUCUAAAUAAGCAAAAAGACUUUUAGUUUACCUCCCCGAACCUAGACGAGCUAUUUUAAGACAGCUUAUUGAGCAAAUCCGUCUCUGUCGCAAAAGAGUGGAAAGAUCUUAAAAUAGCGGUGACAGACCAAACGAGUCUAGUGAUAGCUGGUUGCUCAUUAAAAGGAUUUUAGUCCUGCUUAAAGUUACUUAUAUAAAAUAAAAUUUCUUUUAAGUUAUUCAAAUAAGGUACAGCCUAUUUGAAAAAGGAAACAACCUCAAUUAUUGGGUUAUCAUUACUGAAUUUAUGACAAAGUAGGCUUAAAAGCAGCCACCUUCAAUAAAAGCGUCAAAGCUUCCUCAUAGUAUUCUUUCUAAUACCUUCAUCCUCACUUAACCCCUUCUCAACAAAGAGCAAUUCUAUACUUUUAUAGAAAAUUUUCUGUUAAAACUAGUAAUAAGAAGCCAGCCCUUCUCUUUAAUGCAAACUUAUAUCAGACAGGACACCCCACUGAUUAUUAACGUCCCUAAAGACAUUGUAAUAACUAAUCAAGAAAAUAUUACCUUUCCCCAACGUUAACCUAACACAAGAGCAUUUUAAGAAAGAUUAAAAGAAAAAGAAGGAACUCGGCAAAUUUUAGCCUCGCCUGUUUACCAAAAACAUCGCCUCUUGAUAUAGCUAUAAGAGGUCAUGCCUGCCCAGUGACUCUGUUCAACGGCCGCGGUAUCCUAACCGUGCGAAGGUAGCGUAAUCACUUGUUCUUUAAAUGAGGACUAGUAUGAAUGGCCCCACGAAAGCUACACUGUCUCCUUUUUCUAAUCAAUGAAACUAAUCUUCUCGUGAAGAAGCGAGAAUAUUUUUAUAAGACGAGAAGACCCUAUGGAGCUUUAAACAAGCGAAAUAUUUGCUUUAACUUUUUAUUCUCCCGAGUUUUUCCUGCAUUCAAGCAUUUUAAUUUCUAGUUUUAGGUUGGGGUGACCACGGAGUAAAAUUCAACCUCCAUGAUGAAUAAGCAUUUUUCCCUUUAAGCUACAAGCUACUUCUUAAAGCAUCAACAAAUUGACUUUCAUUGACCCAAUAUUUUGAUCAACGAACCAAGUUACCCUAGGGAUAACAGCGCAAUCUACUUCGAGAGCUCAUAUCGACAAGUAGGUUUACGACCUCGAUGUUGGAUCAGGGUAUCCUAGUGGUGCAGCCGCUACUAAAGGUUCGUUUGUUCAACGAUUAAAACCCU
rnacentral:rRNA from 1 species